GAUGAAGAACGUAGCGAAAUGCGAUAAGUAAUGUGAAUUGCAGAAUUCAGUGAAUCAUCGAAUCUUUGAACGCACAUUGCGCCCGCCAGUAUUCUGGCGGGCAUGCCUGUUCGAGCGUCAUUUCAACCAUCAAGCUCUGCUUGCGUUGGGGAUCCGCGGCUGCCCGCGGUCCCUCAAAACCAGUGGCGGGCUCGCUAGUCACACCGAGCGUAGUAACUUUACAUCGCUAUGGUCGUGCGGCGGGUGCUUGCCGUAAAACCCCCCAUUUUUUAAGGUUGACCUCGGAUCAGGUAGGAAUACCCGCUGAACUUAAGCAUAUCAAUAAGCGGAGGA
rnacentral:misc_RNA from 1 species